rnacentral:rRNA from 1 species
AACGAACGCUGGCGGCAGGCUUAACACAUGCAAGUCGAGCGCCCCGCAAGGGGAGCGGCAGACGGGUGAGUAACGCGUGGGCAUCUACCCAUCUCUACGGAAUAACGCAUGGAAACUUGUGCUAAUACCUUAUACGUCCUUGGGGAGAAAGAUUUAUCGGAGUUGGAUGAGUCCGCGUUGGAUUAGCUAGUUGGUGGGGUAAAGGCCUACCCAGGCGACGAACCAUAGCUGGUCUGAGACGAUGAUCAGCCACACUGGGACUGAGACACGGCCCAGACUCCUACGGGAGGCAGCAGUGGGGAAUAUUGGACAAUGGGCGCAAGCCUGAUCCAGCCAUGCCGCGUGAGUGAUGAAGGCCCUAGGGUUGUAAAGCUCUUUCACCGGUGAAGAUAAUGACGGUAACCGGAGAAGAAGCCCCGGCUAACUUCGUGCCAGCCGCCGCGGUAAUAC